UGGGGAAUCUUGGACAAUGGGCGCAAGCCUGAUCCAGCCAUGCCGCGUGAGUGAAGAAGGCCUUCGGGUUGUAAAGCUCUUUUACCAGGGACGAUAAUGACGGUACCUGGAGAAUAAGCCCCGGCAAACUUCGUGCCAGCAGCCGCGGUAAUACGAAGGGGGCUAGCGUUGUUCGGAAUUACUGGGCGUAAAGCGCACGUAGGCGGAUUGUUAAGUCAGAGGUGAAAUCCCGGAGCUCAACUUCGGAACUGCCUUUGAUACUGGCAAUCUAGAGUCCGGAAGAGGUUAGUGGAAUUCCCAGUGUAGAGGUGAAAUUCGUAGAUAUUUGGAAGAACACCAGUGGCGAAGGCGGCUAACUGGUCCGGUACUGACGCUGAGGUGCGAAAGCGUGGGGAGCAAACAGGAUUAGAUACCCAAGUAGUCCCUGAGCGGGCUGGCAAGGCGCAU
rnacentral:rRNA from 1 species